UGGGGAAUUGUUCGCAAUGGGUGCAAGCCUGACGACGCAACGCCGCGUGGAGGACGAAGAUCUUCGGGUCGUAAACUCCUGUCGAGCGGGAAGAAGGCUCCGCGGUUGAAUAGGCCGCGGAAUUGACGGUACCACUAAAGGAAGCCCCGGCUAACUCCGUGCCAGCAGCCGCGGUAAUACGGGGGGGGCAAGCGUUGUUCGGAAUUACUGGGCGUAAAGGGCUCGUAGGCGGCCAACUAAGUCAGAUGUGAAAUCCCCAGGCUUAACCUGGGAACUGCAUCUGAUACUGGAUGGCUUGAAUCCGGGAGAGGGAUGCAGAAUUCCAGGUGUAGCGGUGAAAUGCGUAGAUAUCUGGAGGAAUACCGGUGGCGAAGGCGGCAUCCUGGACCGGCAUUGACGCUGAGGAGCGAAAGCUAGGGGAGCAAACGG
rnacentral:rRNA from 1 species